UCUCUCUCUCUCUCUCUCUCUCUCUCUCUCUCUCUCUCUCUCUCUCUCUCUCUCUCGGUUCAACACUAAUGAAAAAUGAAAAUUUAACUCCGGCGACCUUGAAGCCACAUCACAGCUCCGAAGCCUUGAAGCCGCCUCACAACCCCGAAGCCCUAAAGCCACCACACAGCCACGAAGCAAGUCCGUCGACUUCCCUAGUUUCUUUCUCUUUCAUAUAUUUCGGUGCUGGUGAGACGAACGAUGGGGACGCGGAGCUGGUGGCGCUGGUGAGACGAAUGUGGAAGUUUGGGUUUUGUAAUGUUGGCCAGAGUUGAACGACGGGGAUGGAGUUGGGCUUCACCUGUUUUCGAUUCCCAAAUUGUUUAACAUUCAGGAUCUAUUUUUUUUUUUUUUUGAAUAGACAUUCAGGAUCUAUUUUAGUGCCAUGAGAUUAGUGUUUUUUGUAACCCUUGCAUAAAAAAGAAAAGGGUAUGAACUUGUAAAAAUAAUAAAUUGUAUUUUUUUAUUUUUGUUUGUAUAAUUCAGUAAAGAAGUUUAGAAUAAUUGUAGUUCUUUUUAGUAUU